UCCUGGGGAAGGGGAGGCUCCAAGGAGACCUCAUUGUGGCCUUCCAGUGCCUAAAGGGCUUAUAAAAAGGAGGAACAGCAAUGCUUCACAUGGACUGAGCAUGCUAGGACAAGGGGGAGCUGUUAUAACCUAAAAAGAGAGAGAUUCAGCUUAGCUGUUAGGAAGAAAUCCUUUACCAGAGGACAGUGAUGCACUGGAAGAAUUUGCCCAGAGAAGCCCUUGUCAACAGAAAAAGUGAUCUGCUCAGUUCUGAAGAGCCUGUGAUACAGCCCCAUACAGCACACUGAGUUAGGGUACAAGGGGGGUGGCAGCAGCUUUUUAAUGUAGUGACACCAGAUCUCUGAGCACAGAGCUGAGACUGCAGCCUCUGGUGACCCAAAGAGAGACAGCCUGAGGGAGCAGCUCUGUGCAGGCAGGAAAACAACAAGGUCAGCUGUGCUCAAGAGCAAAGGCAUUGGCACCUACCUGGGCACCAGGGGUUGAAGAGUAACACAAACUGGCCCAGAUCCUGAUACCAUUUGGCCUAGAUGCAAAGGAAAAUGCAUAGUGAGAGAUCAUCUGUCUUACAUGGAUGAACAAGAGGUAUUUGAGGACAUGCUGAAGCUUUUGACAAAUCAAUCCAUCUGUCUGAGUGCAGCUCUGUUCCAAGUGGCAGCUGGACCACUGGCGUUCCUGUUCUAGUAGGCAGUAACUUCAUGUCAUAGAAGAAUUCUUGCAGUGUGCUUGGAGUUCCCUGAUACUGUGUCCUCCUGCACAUAUGCUGUUAUUAUGGUCUGUGGUUUAAAACCCAUAAAGUGGUUCCUGACACCUCAAAUCCUAAACUGCCUUGUUAGCAAACAAAUAUGAAUAUGAUAUCCCUUGCAAUGUUGUUUUCCCUUCCCUGUUUUCUUGCCAUGCUCAAACCUGAGCAGUUAUGCUGUCUUUGGGAAUGCUGAGAAGCACCUUCUGUGUUUAUAUCUCCCCUGGGAGACUCUGAAAAAUACACCUGGAGCACUGUGUUUCAAGUUUCACAAAUGCUCAGGGCAAGUACCUUGGUGAAGGCUCUUCAAAGUCAGUUUUAUCAAGCUUUGCAGGAUUUCACCACUUCCUGUCCAGCUGCUGGGAUUUUUACCACCCUCAUAUUUUCCACUCCAGUUUCCUAGCACCACCCCUUGGUCAUCAUUGGCGUUGACCUGAGAAGAUAUUCACUAAAUUUAUGAUGAGGUGAAUUUGUGCCAGAUAUUGGCAACUGAAGGAAGCUGUGGCUGGUGGCUAAAAUUGCAGUAAUACAACAAACACCUCAACAGUUCCAUGGCUGUGUGAAUGAGGACGUUGGCUCUGAGGUAUUCCCUUGCUGCUCUGUAGUGCAGAUUGGGCCAGAAGAAUGUCCUGAGGCAGGAUUACUCUCCCUGUGAAAGAAGCUGGGGGGCAUACCUGUUUCUGCAAUGAAUAUUAAGUUUUGCUCAGGCCGUUCUGUUCCAUUGAAGGUGCCAGUCUGUACUUGGCUGCGUUGCAGCUAUGAAAAAAUGAGAUGAGCAAAAAAGCUUGAGAAUACAUCCAAAGAGGAAGGAAGAGAAACACACUCUGAAGAAUUUGAAGAAUUGCUUAUUACUUUCUACAGGCUAAUCCUUCAUUUUCCAUACUAGCGCUAGCAAACUGAUCACAGAUGUCUCUUCUCUCCUCUGCCCUCCACAUACAGGAACUUCUGUUUCCUUACACUUACACAGACUAGAACAAGGUAUUUUGUGUCUUCAUUAUUACUUCAUCUCACUUAUCUACAAUGACGAGAAGAGACUGAAGCAAUCUCAGGAAUGUUAGUGCUUACCUUGAAGAACUUGAAGGGUGGAAAUUUCAUAAGAUCAGUAAGGGGCAAGCACAGCAUCUAUGUAUAAAAUGGGGCAAGAGGCAUGAAAAAGAGCUGAGAAACUUCAGCUGUAUGUAAUUACAGUUGACAUCAACUAGCUUGAUUCAAAUUCCUGGAAAACACUGAAAGAGAUGAACUUCUUAGCAUCUAGAUGAAUAACAGCCAGCUAAGGCAUGCCAAGAAGUCAGCUGUGCCCAUCAGAGGAGAAGAAAGAAGUGCCAUCUAUCACCACAUGCUGACUUGGAUUUGCAACAAAAUCCCACAGGGUAUUUUCAUAAGUACACUUUGGAAACACUGAUUACACAAGAUUUCUAUUAGUUAACUGCAUAACUUGUUGUUAAAAAAACAAAUGCUGCAUUGCUUCAGUGGAUCACCAUCAAACUGGAAGGGCAUAGUGGCUGAAGUGCCAUUAAAUGCUGCCUUGGAGCAUUGACAUUUUAAAUAUGCUCUUUUCUGUUGUUAAUGUUGUUCAGCUGAAGCGUUAUGGUAGCCCAGGGCUAAUCUCAGCUUGAUAAUGUCAAGACUACAGAGAAUGGAGAGUGUAAAAAAAAGAGAAGGAUCAAGCUGAAUCAGUGUAAAACAGAGAGAACUGCAGAGAUAUUAUGAUUUUUGAAAAGAUGAAAAGUGGUUAUAGAAAGAGGAGGCCAGCUGAGGAGUAAUGGUCUUUAAAAGUUCAGUCUUUGACUGAAGACACUGAAGUGAAACAUAAAAAUGUUGGCAGUGCAGAAAAGUGUUUAGCUAGACCCUCUGGGUAGCUUGUCAAAAUGUUAUUUUUUUUCCCCCAUGGAGAUUAAGAACAGCCUGAAAGCAUAUUUGCCAGGGCUAACACACGAGUGUGGUUGAGCUGCCCUUGGGGCAUUGAUUUUGAUGUCAAAGCUGUGACAGUGACACUUUCCUCCCCAUUGCUCAUUGAUGGCAGCUGAUGCUGAGCCCGGUGGGGCAGGGAGCACCUGAGCAGGGCAGUGAAGCAUCCUGCACCCAGGGCUGCUGCAGCCUCCUCUGCAGCCUCCUGCUCCUGCUCUGCUGCUCUGGCUGAGCUGCCCACAGUGAAUGCACUUCACGUCGUGUCCUGUGGUCAAGGGUCACCGAUUUCCCAACUACUGUGACACACAAGCCUGCAGACUGUGUGUCACAUUCAUCUCAAGAACUGCUCAGUUCAUAGCAGUGAUAAAAUAUUUUGCAUAGAAAGAGGGAGGUUAGCACUGUGCCUGUCCAGUAUUGCAUCUGCCAGUGCAAGCCAGCUCACAAGCAUCACCUGGAAGUCCCACAGCAAUGUAACAGAUAAUUCUUCACAAGAUAAUUUUCUCCAUUAUCUUGUGAAGCAAAAAUUUGUCCCACUUUCAGUCAUUUGGUCACUUGUUCCCAAAAGAGGGAAGUACAGAACUGACCUGAAAGUAGCCACGUCUUUUUUUGUCUUUGUCUUUUUUUUGUGUGUGUGCACAGAGAAAAGCCACCUCCUUUUUAGAAUCCAUUAGAGUUCAUUGGUUUUUCAUACCUUAGAGCAAUGUGUUUCACAUGCUAAUUAUGAGUUGUGUAAAUAAUGUUCUAAACAUUCCCUUUCUUCAUUUAAGAUCCACUGGUUUUUACAUUUCAGGAUUAAAAGGUACCCAAGGCUUUGCUUCACUUUAUUGUUCAGUGCUUUGUAUUUCUCUAUAAUAUCAUGUCUUAUGUUAUUAUAUUCCUCCAAACUACAUAUUAUCAGAAUUGCCAGUCUCUUUUCAUGCUGAUACCAUAGUCUGAAUGUAUGUGCAUUUCUGAAACUCAUUCAGUUUCUUCUGUAUGCUUUUGUGAUAUAAAUGAAAAAGAAUUGAAACAUCCUCCUGUAGGGAAAAUACACUAUAAGUCAAUUGGUGUCAAUGAUUUUUAGUAUUCCCUGAUCUAUUUUCUAUUAAUGCCAUUUUUGUUUGUUAGUUCAGCACUUACUCAGCUUAGCCCACAAGACAGUGUUUGUUCAUCCUGUACAAAGGAACUGUGUCAUAAGAAGAUAUAAAAUAACAAGCCUGGACAAGAUGUUUAGCUGUAUGGAUGGGUAAAAUGGAUGUAUUGAAAAUUGUGUGAAAGGAGGCUGCACAACAAGCUGAUGUGUGAAUUCCAUAAUGUUAAAGGAGAGAAUUGGAGUGUACCAAAUGAACUGGCACAGGAUUUGUAAAUAGGGUGCUCAGGGAGCUUGUAACCACAAAGAAAAUGCUUCAAUAGCUGGAAAGGCAAAGGAAACAAUUGUUUGAGAUGGAAGAAAAUAUUGUCAUUAGAGAGAAGCCAAACAAUUGUGAAAGAUUGAGGAACAGAAUUAAGGAGAUCGGGAAUUGGGAUGGAGCACAGCCAGCAGUGGAGAGGAAGAUGAAAAGUUGAUGCAUUUGAGAUAAAAGAGAAAUAGAGAAAUUAAAGAUAGAAAGUUAGGCUAUGGGGAAGAAGAAAACCAGACAUUCUGGUAUCUUAUUAAUGGAAGAAAUAUUCCCCUACAAGAGGAGAAAAUUAAAAUAAUGAAAGAGACUAAAGGUAACUUAAAGAUGGAGAAAACUGAACUAGAAUGAUGGUUUGGUAUUUAUUGGAGUGGGAGAAGAGAAAAACUGAGGAAGAGGAGAAUGAAGUCAGAGGAAAUUUCAUCAGAAGGAGGU